GACCACUGCUAUGGGGGUCCGACUAAGCCAUGCGAGUCAUGGGGGUGUCCCUUUGGGACACCACCGGCGGACGGCUCAGUAACACGUCGGUAACCUACCCUCGGGAGGGGGAUAACCCCGGGAAACUGGGGCUAAUCCCCCAUAGGCCUGAGGUACUGGAAGGUCCUCAGGCCGAAAGGGGCUCUGCCCGCCCGAGGAUGGGCCGGCGGCCGAUUAGGUAGUUGGUGGGGUAACGGCCCACCAAGCCGAAGAUCGGUACGGGCCAUGAGAGUGGGAGCCCGGAGAUGGACACUGAGACACGGGUCCAGGCCCUAUGGGGCGCAGCAGGCGCGAAACCUCCGCAAUGCGGGCAACCGCGACGGGGGGACCCCCAGUGCCGUGGCACAGCCACGGCUUUUCCGGAGUGUAAAAAGCUCCGGGAAUAAGGGCUGGGCAAGGCCGGUGGCAGCCGCCGCGGUAAUACCGGCGGCCCGAGUGGUGGUCGCUAUUAUUGGGCCUAAAGCGUCCGUAGCCGGGCCCGUAAGUCCCUGGCGAAAUCCCACGGCUCAACCGUGGGGCUUGCUGGGGAUACUGCGGGCCUUGGGACCGGGAGAGGCCGGGGGUACCCCUGGGGUAGGGGUGAAAUCCUAUAAUCCCAGGGGGACCGCCAGUGGCGAAGGCGCCCGGCUGGAACGGGUCCGACGGUGAGGGACGAAGGCCAGGGGAGCAAACCGGAUUAGAUACCCGGGUAGUCCUGGCUGUAAAGGAUGCGGGCUAGGUGUCGGGCGAGCUUCGAGCUCGCCCGGUGCCGAAGGGAAGCCGUUAAGCCCGCCGCCUGGGGAGUACGGCCGCAAGGCUGAAACUUAAAGGAGUUGGCGGGGGAGCACUACAAGGGGUGGAGCGUGCGGUUU
rnacentral:rRNA from 1 species